rnacentral:miRNA from 1 species
AAGAGAUUGUGGUUACUCACCGUU